rnacentral:rRNA from 1 species
AUACGGAGGAUCCGAGCGUUAUCCGGAUUUAUUGGGUUUAAAGGGAGCGUAGGUGGAUUGUUAAGUCAGUUGUGAAAGUUUGCGGCUCAACCGUAAAAUUGCAGUUGAUACUGGCUGUCUUGAGUACAGUAGAGGUGGGCGGAAUUCGUGGUGUAGCGGUGAAAUGCUUAGAUAUCACGAAGAACUCCGAUUGCGAAGGCAGCUCACUGGACUGCAACUGACACUGAUGCUCGAAAGUGUGGGUAUCAAACAGGAUUAGAUACCCUGGUAGUCCACACAGUAAACGAUGAAUACUCGCUGUUUGCGAUAUACAGUAAGCGGCCAAGCGAAAGCAUUAAGUAUUCCACCUGGGGAGUACGCCGGCAACGGUGAAACUCAAAGGAAUUGGCGGGG